AAAGCAAAAGCGAAUGGUAAACUAGUUAAAUAGUCUUCAACAACACCUGCGUGCUGUAUUGCGAUUGCCCAAAGAACUCUUGGAAAAACAAAACGAAAGCUACAUAGUUUACAAUAACAAUUUGUGUGUAUUUCGUGCAAGUGCAAGUCUUCUUUAAACGGCAACUGGUUACGUGUUCUUCUUAGGAAAUUACUUGAAUAUGAUAUUCUUGUAGUAAGCGGUUACUAAAAAAGCAGCUAUAAA